UCCCUCCCCGAGAUCGCGCAACAAGUCCCCCUUUUUGGGAAUCCCCUCUGGCCUGGACGGCGGAGGAGGCAUCUUUGGCAUCGAUCUCGGCCGAGCAGCUCGACGUGGAGGUGUACGCGACAUAGUGUGCGGUGCAGACCAGCCUCACACACCUCAUCUAGGACAGCAACCAAUUAGGGAUGCACUGAUGCAGCAGGCGGCGUUGCGUUGGGGACGUGUCGCGGGCUAGCCAUGGCUAGCAGCUAGGCGGCGUCGACUAUCCCUGUCCAGGCUAGCAGGCUAUCGGGCCCCGUGCGGGUGCUUGUCUCCGAGGCCAUCGACGAGCGAGUGGCGGAGGGUGAGGAAGGGGAUGGCGCGAUGAGGCUAUUCGUGGGCCUCCCGUGGACGCGGUGGUCUCUGGCAGCUAGCAUCACCCUUCCUCCUUCCUGUUGGAUUGGUUUCGCUUGCACUCACCAGGACACGCAUUUCAGGUGACGAGAAGACAGACCACCUGAAGCACCUCGAGAUCAGCCCCAAAGAUUGUCUUCGAUAUCCAGGUGAGGGUAACAGCAGCGGCUGCAUCAUGUGGAAAGAUAACAUCGUUGAUGUCAAGUACAAAGAAAAUGGGCAGGAUCUCUAUCUUGGGCUGGCAAACUCUGAAAUAGGUAGCAAAAACUGAAGCAGUCAAGAUUCUGAUGCAAAACUCAACAUCUUAUCAGCUGCUACUAAUAAAUACAUUUAUGUAGCUACAAGGAAGAAUAUGGGGCGUGUGGCAAAGAUCUCGGUCCCGGUGAUGGCUUCUGUGCUUGCACUCAUGGCCACCGGCAUGUACCUUGUUUGGAUAUGCAAGCUUAGAGGUACAAUUGGAGGGAGCCAAUAUAUUCACCAUAAAGAACUAUCCAGCUCAGUUUUUUUGUAUUGCUAGCAUAAGGUUUAUCAAUAACAAUUGGAGUGGCUCUUCCUGUCAGCCAAACGUCAGAACAAGGAUAAUUUGAGCAAAGCGAUCCUAGGAUACUUGAGUGCGUCAAACGAACUCGGUGAUGAAAAAUGUAGAGCUUCCAUUUGUCAUCUUUGGAAACAAUGCAACUGCAACAGACAAUUUUUCUUCUGAGAACAUGCUCGGGCAAGGUGGCUUUGGGAAGGUUUACAAGGUCAGUAAUAAAAAAUGCACACAUCUUCUAAAUAAAUUGUAGAACCGUGAGAAUUAUGGCAUUGCUUGUUCAGUACAACAAUGGCGAAACAAAACAACGCAGGGUAUGCUGGGACACAACAUAGAAGUCGCAAUCAAAAGGCUCGGCCAAGGUUCAGGACAAGGCGCGUAGGAAUUCAGAAACAAAGUUGUUCUAAAUGCAAAGCUGCAGCACAGAAACCUCGUUCGACUUAUUGGAUGGUGCAUCGACAGAGAUGAGAAGUUGUUGGUUUACGAAUACUUACCAAACAGAAGCUUGGAUUAUGUUAUCUUUGAUGCUGCAAGGCAACAUCUCCUCUGUUGGCCAACACAUUUCAAGAUAAUCAAAGGAGUGUCUAGAGGGCUUCUCUAUUUUCACCAUGAUUCAAGGUUGACUAUAAUUCAUAGAGAUCUUAAGACGAGUAACAUACUAUUGGACGCGGAUAUGAACCCCAAGAUAUCAGAUUUUGCAAUGGCAAGCAUCUUUUGUGCAUACCGGAAUGAAGCAAUUAUGAAUCGAGUCGUUGGGACAUACGAGGGGUGGUUGUGUCGUCCAUGGUUGCUGUCAGCCCCAAAGAUUGGCCUGAAGGUAAGGUCCAAGAUGAGACGUGCUGGUCAGAUCAAGAGUUCUACAAGAGCAUUAAGGGAACCUGUGCAGAACUUGUUGCGGGUGUUACCUAUCGUCUACUGAUACAUGACGAGCAGUAGCUCAAUAGUGUGCGACAAUGUAAAUGGGUACUUUCCUGUGUCUUCCUAUGCCAUCAUUAUCGACUUCUCUUUGUCAUUUUAUUACUACUCAUGUUCAUGUAGACCAAUGUUAAUCCUUUUUUAUGUUGCAGACAAGUAGUGAUUGUGAUGUAAAGCCAAUGGUUAGACUCUUAAGUCAAUAUUCUAUUGGUGAAACACUUUUAUCAAGCGUCUGCUAAGAACAAGUCAUCCUGAUUUUUAUAUC